ACGGGGAUGGCGAGCGUUACUCGGAUUUACUGGGUGUAAAGGACAGGCAGGCGGCUUUGCAAGUUGAAGGUUAAAUCCUCUGACUCAAUCAGAGACAUGCCUUCAAAACUACAUUGCUUGAGGAUUUGAGAGGAGAGCGGAAUUCCCGGUAUAAGGGUGAUAUCUGUAGAUAUCGGGAGGAACAGCUAUAGCGAAUGCGGCAUUCGGGCAAACCUCUGACGCUGAUCUGUGAAAGCUAGUGGAGCAAACAG
rnacentral:rRNA from 1 species